GGGCUGGCUUUAGCUCAGCGGUUACUUCGACGAGCAUUCUCCACAAUCAACACGCGCAGCUUUCAGCUGUGCAGUUGGUUCGAAACCCGCGGGCGCUCUCCAGCCCUUUU
ensembl:misc_RNA Vault Vault RNA